AACGAACGCUGGCGGCAUGCCUAACACAUGCAAGUCGAACGAGACCUUCGGGUCUAGUGGCGCACGGGUGCGUAACGCGUGGGAACCUGCCCUUAGGUUCGGAAUAACUCCCCGACAGGGGUGCUAAUACCGGAUAAUGUCUUCGGACCAAUGAUUUAUCGCCUUUGGAUGGGCCCGCGUUGGAUUAGCUAGUUGGUAGGGUAAAAGCCUACCAAGGCGACGAUCCAUAGCUGGUCUGAGAGGAUGAUCAGCCACACUGGGACUGAGACACGGCCCAGACUCCUACGGGAGGCAGCAGUGGGGAAUAUUGGACAAUGGGCGAAAGCAUGAUCCAGCAAUGCCGCGUGAGUGAUGAAGUCCUUAGGGUUGUAAAGCGCUUUUACCCGGGAUGAUAAUGACAGUACCGGGAGAAUAAGCUCCGGCUAACUCCGUG
rnacentral:rRNA from 1 species